rnacentral:rRNA from 1 species
CGCGAAAGUAGUUGAGCUAAAUAAUUAUAAUUAUUAGAUUAGCAUAUGUAGCAUAAUAAAGUUAAAUAAUUACUUAGGGGUGAUAGGCUUGUCAAAUCUACAGAUAUCUCGAUACGUUUUAAAAACAUUAAGUGUUUUUCUCAAUCAAUUAGUGAUAAGGCUAUUUGAAAUCAUGAAAUAAGAUAUUAUAUUAUAUCUUGACUUAACCGUCAGAUAUUCUUUAAAAUACUAUUUUUGUACUUUACAUUAUGUAAAUAAAAAAGUAACGUCCUAAUUAAAUAAAUUGUUUAAAAUGUCACUAUUAGUAAACUGAUAGGUAUUAAAAAUGAACUCGGCAAAUUAUCCUUCAACUGUUUAUCAAAAACAUAGCUAUGUGAAAUCACUCAUAGUAAUUUCUGCUCAAUGAACAGUUAAAUAGCCGCAGUACCCUGACUGUGCAAAGGUAGCGUAAUAAUUUGGCUUUUAAUUGAAGUCCUGUAUGAACGAAAUAUUGGAGGAUAUCUUUAUUCUUGAUAUUGAUUGAAAUUACUUAUUAAGUGCAAAUACUUAAAUAUAAAUGAUAGACGAGAAGACCCUAGAAAUUUUAAUUAAAUAAACUUAAACUUUUUGUUGGGGCAACAAGGUAACAUUAAAUUUACCGUUUUGUACAUGAACAUUUUAUGUGAAAGGUUAAAUUACUCUAGGGAUAACAGCGUUAUUUUAAAAAGUUUGCGACCUCGAUGUUGGACUAGGAAAUUUUUGCUUAGAA